rnacentral:rRNA from 1 species
GGCGAACGCUGGCGGCGUGCUUAACACAUGCAAGUCGAACGGUGAAGGGAUCAGCUUGCUGGUUCUGGAUGAGUGGCGAACGGGUGAGUAACACGUGAGUAACCUGCCCCCUUCUUCUGGAUAACCGCAUGAAAGUGUGGCUAAUACGGGAUAUUCUGGGUCUGUCGCAUGAUGGGUCUGGGAAAGAUAUUGUUUCGGUGGGGGAUGGGCUCGCGGCCUAUCAGCUUGUUGGUGGGGUGAUGGCCUACCAAGGCGGUGACGGGUAGCCGGCCUGAGAGGGUGGACGGUCACACUGGGACUGAGACACGGCCCAGACUCCUACGGGAGGCAGCAGUGGGGAAUAUUGCACAAUGGGCGCAAGCCUGAUGCAGCGACGCCGCGUGAGGGAUGGAGGCCUUCGGGUUGUAAACCUCUUUCGCCAGUGAAGCAGGCCUGCUCCUUGUGGGUGGGUUGACGGUAGCUGGAUAAGAAGCGCCGGCUAACUACGUG